UAGUCAGUGAUAAUAGAUAUCCACAGUGUUUUAGUAUCGAUUAGUUACGCGUGAAAUAAUUAUAGAACUCGUGUGUUCAUUUGUGUAUUAGUGAUCCGACGAUUAUUGUACUCGUAUCUCCAUGCUGGGAAUGGAAAUAAGAGCUCAUUUAGUGACAACUCGAGGCACUAGCGUUCUAUCACACUGAUACUACCCGAUCGUCUUAUGCGCACUUCCGG